rnacentral:rRNA from 1 species
CAGCAGCCGCGGGAACACGGAGGGGGCUAGCGUUGUUCGGAAUUACUGGGCGUAAAGCGCACGUAGGCGGCUUGGUAAGUUAGAGGUGAAAGCCUGGAGCUCAACUCCAGAAUUGCCUUUAAGACUGCCGAGCUAGCAGGUGAGAGAGGUAAGUGGAAUUCCGAGUGUAGAGGUGAAAUUCGUAGAUAUUCGGAAGAACACCAGUGGCGAAGGCGGCUUACUGGCUCAUACUGGACGCUGAGGUGCGAAAGCGUGGGGAGCAAACAGGAUUAGAGACCCCUGUAGUCCCUGUCUCUUAUAC